rnacentral:tRNA from 1 species
GCCGGGAUAGCUCAGUUGGUAGAGCAGAGGACCCUGAAACC